UCAUUCAUUCAUUCAUUUCAGUCUAGUUUGAACUGCAUGGUUGCCUUUCUAUAGUCUGUUGCAAGAGCUUCGUAUAAGUGGCCAUGAUGACGACCGAGUUGACAAUUCACUGGGUGGACUACCUUAUUGUAUGCCUCACACUGGCCAUUUGUUUAGGGAUUGGAAUUUUCUUUGGCAUAAAAGGACGACGAAGAUCUACAAGGACAGCUUAUUUCAUGGGAGAUCGCAAGCUUGGAAUCGUUCCCGUUUGUCUGUCUUUAUUUGUAACUUUCAUGUCGGCUGUUAGUUUACUUGGAAUUCCAGCAGAAAUGUAUUUUUAUGGAUCCGGAUUUUUUAUUUUCUUAUUGUCACUAGGCAUCUGUUACGUCAUCAGUAUCUACACCCUGAUUCCGCUUAUGUACCCCCUGGAAGUAACAAGCAUGUAUGAGUAUUUGGGUCUGCGCUUCGAGUCAACUGCCGUGAGACUGCUGGGAACGUGUGUGGGCAUGCUGCAGACAAUAAGCUACAUGGCCAUUUGUUUACUUUCUCCUGCACUAGCUCUGCAAUCAGCUGCGGGUAUUGAGUUAUGGCUGUCUGUGGUGGUAAUUGGUAUUGUGGGUACAGUCUACACGAGUCUGGGUGGUAUUAAAAGUGUUGUGUGGACGGACACGUUUCAAGCAGUACUCAUGUUUACUGGCAUCAUUACCAUUUUGGUAAAGGCUUUAAUGGAGGUAGGCGGAGUGAUGAAGAUGUUUGAAAUUGCAAACUCACAAGGUCGGAUAAUCUUCGAUGAUGUUAGAGUAGACCCACGAAUACGUCAAACUGUGUGGUCACUGACUAUCGGCGCAUUCUUCAGCUGGCUCCUCAUAAGUUUCAACCAAUCAACAGUUCAACGUUUGUCUUCACUCAGGACCAUGAGAGCAGCCAAAAUAGCCUUUCUUCUGAACGGACCACUCAUCAUUGUGUACGGAAGUAUCCUCUGUUUCACCGGAAUCCUCGUUUACUCGUACUUUUACUCAAAAGCUUGUGACCCGUAUAAAGCUGGUCUCAUCAAAAACCGAAAUCAGGUGAUGCCUUAUUUUGUGAUGCAAGUUUUAGCUGAACUUCCAGGAAUGACAGGUCUCUACAUAUCUACGCUUUUCAGUGCGUCUCUAAGCACAUUUUCUUCUGGAAUUAAUGCUUUGGCAGCCAAUACAGCUGAAGAUUUGCUUGGCUACCCAUUUGCGAAGUUCAAAGUCAAGGAGAGUACAGCUACACACAUAACCAAAUUACUUGUAUUGUUCUACGGGAUGCUAGCAAUCGGGUUGGCUUAUUUAGCCAAGUCACUUCACGGACCUGUUACACAGAUGGCGAACUCUGUCAUGGGUGCGUGUGGUGGACCUGUGUUGGGCAUUUUUCUUCUGGGAGCCAUCUUCCCGUGGGCGAAUAAACAUGGCGCCUUAUAUGGCUGUUUGGCAGCGAUCAUAUUUAACAUGUGGAUGGCCAUUGGAGGACAGAUAUAUGGAUCACCACCUGUGCCACUUCCACCAGCACCGACCUACGGAUGCGCAGCUAAUCAUACGUCCGUUCUGAUUAAUGUUACUGGAAGUCAAGAGUACAGUGUGUCUACUAGUAAUACAGUUUCACCUAAUACUAAUUUAAGCUCACCUACAUCAGAAGAAGGACCAUUGUUCAUUUACCAAGUAUCCUACCUGUGGUAUGGGCUCAGCGGUGUCGUCAUUUCCAUGACGAUUGGAAGUAUUUUAAGUCUGGUCACAGGAAAGUAUGACGUGACACUACUGGAUCCUCGGUCACUGUUUCCGUUUGCUAGGAGGUGUAACAGUUCUAUAGACUACCAUGACUGUGGAAUUUCACUGUCACGAAAUGAAAUGAUUCUAUAGACGUCUGUAAUUGCCGAGUCGUACUGUCACGAAUUGUAACGGUUCUAUAGACUUCCAUGCACAUAUAUGGAUUUAAGUAAUAGUUUAUCAACUGUGCUCGUUUCUUUACAGGAAAGUAUGACGUGACACUACUGGAUCCUCGGUUACUGUUUCCGUUUGCUAGGAGGAUUUGGAAAAUAAAGUUACGCGAGACUUCUGAUGGAGAGAACACAUUAAAGUUAGAACAGUCGUCAUUAAUGAAUGUCCGUGAGUCAUGGAAA
rnacentral:misc_RNA from 1 species